UUCCCUUUGUCAUCCUAUGCCUGAGAAUAUAUAAGGGGGGCUGGGAAGGCAAAGGGACGU
rnacentral:pre_miRNA from 1 species